rnacentral:lncRNA from 1 species
AUUCCUGGGCGCUAGAGGAAGCGCCUUCGCCCCCGCGCUUCUUCCAGAAAGAAGGGCCCUGUCGCCAGCCUCUGGCCACCCAACGCCGUUGAGUGUUUGUCCUCUCGGCCCUGAACGUCCCUGGCCUUGCUCCCCUCAACACACCUAAGCCACCCCUUCCGCCCGGGCCAGAUGUGUUCCAUCUGAAAGAUCCUGGGGCUUGCUUGGUGCUUCCGGCAUUCUCCAGUUUGAGCCCGGCUGCCAGCAACGGAAGAGAAGGAGAGAACCCCACGAACCUCAGGAGCCAGCCCCCUUCAGAAAGGCUCCAAGACCAGAGCCACGAAGGGCAAACCCUACCCUAAUGCUUCAUCAGGAAAUGUUCAAACAUCCAAAAAGAUGCAGGGCUUGAACAA